GGGGGGAGGCCGGAUCCUGGGCUGUGUCCCGGCGCCCUGUGCUCCGGGGCCUGCGCUGGUGGAUUCGCGCUCCCGGCCGCUGCCGCGCAACCCCCU
rfam:Canis lupus familiaris chromosome X, whole genome shotgun sequence.